rnacentral:rRNA from 1 species
UAGGGUAAAAAAAAAAAAAAAAAAAAAAAAAAAAAAACUUCGGCAAUGGACGAAAGUCUGACCGAGCAACGCCGCGUGAGUGAAGAAGGUUUUCGGAUCGUAAAACUCUGUUGGUAGAGAAGAACGUUGGUGAGAGUGGAAAGCUCAUCAAGUGACGGUAACUACCCAGAAAGGGACGGCUAACUACGUGCCAG